GCAACGAGGGCAUUUAGGAUGGUCCUUUGCUAUUAGCACAUAAAGCAGGCAACUGGGACAUCCAGCAGCGAAAGAAUUGGAUGUGUGCUCCUCUGUAUCCUCCUUCCCUGAGGAUGAGGAAUUUGAUGAUGAUAUUGAACGCUUCCGCGUUGUUUCCUUCUCCAGAGCAGAUUUCACUUUUUCCAAGGUGCAUACACUCUGAUAACUUGGCGAUGAAGGAAGCAGUUUUAGGUCUAAGUUAGGUUCAUCAAAGAGCUUUGAUGUAGGAGGGAAAUUAAGGUCUUGAAGCUUUCCAAUGGUUUUCUGUUGCAAAGACCUCUGUAGAUAUACUUUUCCUGACUUGAGAUCGAGGCGUUUUUCCCAUCCACAAGGAACCUGCAAAUCAAGGUCCAAUUCCUUUGAAUCAAGGGACCGGCAACCUCCGAGCAAGUCCUUUGUAAUUAGAGCCGGUGAUGAAGACGAAUCGCUGCUACCCUUCAUAAUCCGAACCACAAAACUAACUUCAGCCGCCAUUGAUUCCUUCCUUAG
rnacentral:misc_RNA from 1 species